rnacentral:rRNA from 1 species
GAUGAACGCUGGCGGCGUGCCUAAUACAUGCAAGUCGAGCGAACAGACGAGGAGCUUGCUCCUCUGACGUUAGCGGCGGACGGGUGAGUAACACGUGGAUAACCUACCUAUAAGACUGGGAUAACUUCGGGAAACCGGAGCUAAUACCGGAUAAUAUAUUGAACCGCAUGGUUCAAUAGUGAAAGACGGUUUUGCUGUCACUUAUAGAUGGAUCCGCGCCGCAUUAGCUAGUUGGUAAGGUAACGGGUUACCAAGGCAACGAUGCGUAGCCGACCUGAGAGGGUGAUCGGCGACACUGGAACUGAGACACGGUCCAGACUCCUACGGGAGGCAGCAGUAGGGAAUCUUCCGCAAUGGGCGAAAGCCUGACGGAGCAACGCCGCGUGAGUGAUGAAGGUCUUCGGAUCGGAAAACUCUGUUAUUAGGGAAGAACAAAUGUGUAAGUAACUAUGCACGUCUUGACGGUACCUAAUCAGAAAGCCACGGCUAACUACGUG